rnacentral:SRP_RNA from 2 species
GCUGGGUAUGGUGGCGUGUGCCUGUGGUCCCAGUUACUUCAGAGGCUGAGGCAGGAGGAUCGCUUGAGCCCAGGAGGUAGAGGUUGCAGUGAGCUGAAAUUGUGCCACUGCACUCUAGCCUGGGCAAUAGAGCCAGACCCUGUCUCAA